rnacentral:rRNA from 1 species
GCAUAAUGUUAUUUGGGGGCAUCCCUGAAUAACCAAAGCUUUAUGUGCUGAAAGAUGGUCUCGCGUCUGAUUAGCUAGAUGGCGGGGUAACGGCCCACCAUGGCGACGAUCAGUAGCCGGUCUGAGAGGAUGAACGGCCACAUUGGGACUGAGAUACGGCCCAGACUCCUACGGGAGGCAGCAGUGGGGAAUAUUGGGCAAUGGGGGAAACCCUGACCCAGCAACGCCGCGUGAAGGAAGAAGGCCUUCGGGUUGUAAACUUCUUUUAGCAGGGACGAAGAACGUGACGGUACCUGCAGAAAAAGCAACGGCUAACUACGUGCCAGCAGCCGCGGUAAUACGUAGGUUGCAAGCGUUGUCCGGAUUUACUGGGUGUAAAGGGCGUGUAGGCGGAGAUGCAAGUUGGGAGUGAAAUCCCGGGGCUCAACCCCGGAACUGCUUUCAAAACUGCAUCCCUUGAGUAUCGGAGAGGCAAGCGGAAUUCCUAGUGUAGCGGUGAAAUGCGUAGAUAUUAGGAGGAACACCAGUGGCGAAGGCGGCUUGCUGGACGACAACUGACGCUGAGGCGCGAAAGCGUGGGGAGCAAACAGGAUUAGAUACCCUGGUAGUCCACGCUGUAAACGAUGAAUACUAGGUGUGGGAGGACUGACCCCUUCCGUGCCGCAGUUAACACAAUAAGUAUUCCACCUGGGGAGUACGACCGCAAGGUUGAAACUCAAAGGAAUUGACGGGGGCCCGCACAAGCAGUGGAUUAUGUGGUUUAAUUCGACGCAACGCGAAGAACCUUACCAGGACUUGACAUCCAACUAACGAAGUAGAGAUACAUUAGGUGCCCUUCGGGGAAAGUUGAGACAGGUGGUGCAUGGUUGUCGUCAGCUCGUGUCGUGAGAUGUUGGGUUAAGUCCCGCAACGAGCGCAACCCCUAUUGUUAGUUGCUACGCAAGAGCACUCUAGCGAGACUGCCGUUGACAAAACGGAGGAAGGCGGGGACGACGUCAAAUCAUCAUGCCCCUUAUGUCCUGGGCUACACACGUAAUACAAUGGUGGUAAACAGAGGGAAGCAAAGCCGCGAGGUGGAGCAAAUCCCUAAAAGCCAUCUCAGUUCGGAUUGCAGGA